GGAAGAGUGUCCGAGUGGCUUAAGGAGCACGCUUGGAAAGCGUGUAUACGUUAAUCGCGUAUCGAGGGUUCGAAUCCCUCCUCUUCCG
rnacentral:tRNA from 1 species